rnacentral:rRNA from 1 species
CCUACGGGCGGCAGGGGGGAAGAGUGAGCAAGGGGUGAAAGCCGGAAGCAGCGACGCCGCGUGAGGGAUGAAGGGGUUCGGAUCGUAAACCGCUGUCAGCAGGGAAGAACGGGCACUGUGCUAAUCAGCAGUGAAUUGACGGUACCUGCAAAGGAAGCACCGGCUAACACCGUGCCAGCAGCCGCGGUAAUACGGAGGGUGCGAGCGUUAAUCGGAAUUACUGGGCGUAAAGCGCUCGUAGGCGGUAUGUCAAGUCAAGGGUGAAAUCCCCGCGCUCAACGUGGGAACUGCCUUUGAAACUGGCAAACUGGAGUGUGUGAGAGGAUAGUGGAAUUCCAGGUGUAGGAGUGAAAUCCGUAGAUAUCUGGAGGAACAUCAGUGGCGAAGGCGACUAUCUGGCACAUAACUGACGCUGAGGAGCGAAAGCGUGGGUAGCAAACAGGAUUAGAUACCCUGGUAGUC